AGUGAACGCUGGCGGCGUGCCUAACACAUGCAAGUCGAACGAUGAUGGAGGAGCUUGCUCUUCCUGAUUAGUGGCGCACGGGUGAGUAAUGCAUAGAUAAUGUGCCCCUUAGUUCGGGAUAGCCACUGGAAACGGUGAUUAAUACCGGAUACUCCUUCUUAUCAUAAGAUAAGUCGGGAAAGUUUUUCGCUAAGGGAUCAGUCUAUGUUCCAUCCGUUAGUUGGUGAGGUAACGGCUCACCAAGACAAUGAAGGAUAUCUGGUUUGAGAGGCUGAUCAGACACACUGGAACUGAGACACGGUCCAGACUCCUACGGGAGGCAGCAGUGAGGAAUAUUGCACAAUGGAGGAAACUCUGAUGCAGCAACGCCGCGUGGAGGAUGACGCAUUUCGGUGUGUAAACUCCUUUUAUUAGGGAAGAUUAUGACGGUACCUAAUGAAUAAGCACCGGCUAACUCCGUGCCAGCAGCCGCCGUAACAC
rnacentral:rRNA from 1 species